rnacentral:rRNA from 1 species
GCUCCUUCGGGAGCACCGGCGGACGGCUCAGUAACACGUGGACAACCUACCCUCGGGUGGGGGAUAACCUCGGGAAACUGAGGCUAAUACCCCAUAGGCCUCGGGUACUGGAAGGUCCCGAGGCUGAAAGCUCCGGCGCCCGAGGAUGGGUCUGCGGCCUAUCAGGUAGUUGGUGGUGUAAAGGACCACCAAGCCUACGACGGGUACGGGCCCUGAGAGGGGGAGCCCGGAGAUGGACUCUGAGACACGAGUCCAGGCCCUACGGGGCGCAGCAGGCGCGAAACCUUCGCAAUGCGCGAAAGCGCGACGAGGGGAGCCCGAGUGCCCUUCCUUCGGGGAGGGCUUUUCUGGAGCCUAAAAAGCUCCAGGAAUAAGGGCUGGGCAAGACGGGUGCCAGCCGCCGCGGUAAUACCCGCAGCUCGAGUGGUGGCCACUAUUAUUGAGCCUAAAGCGUCCGUAGCCGGACCCGUAAAUCCCUGGGUAAAUCCCGGCGCUUAACGUCGGGAAUUCCGGGGAGACUGCGGGUCUUGGGACCGGGAGAGGCCGGAGGUACUCCCGGGGUAGCGGUGAAAU